UACGUAGGCAGCAAGCGUUGUUCGGAGUUACUGGGCGUAAAGGGUGUGUAGGCGGUUGGAUAAGUGUGGUGUGAAAUCUCCCGGCUUAACUGGGAGGGUGCGCUACAAACUGUCUGACUAGAGUGUGGGAUGGGUAAGUGGAAUUCCUGGUGUAGCGGUGAAAUGCGUAGAUAUCAGGAGGAACACCGGUGGUGUAGACGGCUUACUGGACCAUGAACUGACGCUGAGACACGAAAAGCGUGGGUAGCAAACAGG
rnacentral:rRNA from 1 species